CCUACGGGGGGCAGCAGUGGGGAAUAUUGGACAAUGGGGGCAACCCUGAUCCAGCCAUGCCGCGUGUGUGAAGAAGGCCCUCGGGUUGUAAAGCACUUUCAGUGAGGAAGAACGCCUGGUGGUUAAUACCCAUCAGGAAAGACAUCACUCACAGAAGAAGCACCGGCUAACUCCGUGCCAGCAGCCGCGGUAAUACGGAGGGUGCGAGCGUUAAUCGGAAUUACUGGGCGUAAAGCGCGCGUAGGUGGCUUGAUAAGCCGGUUGUGAAAGCCCCGGGCUCAACCUGGGAACGGCAUCCGGAACUGUGAAGCUAGAGUGCAGGAGAGGAAGGUAGAAUUCCCGGUGUAGCGGUGAAAUGCGUAGAGAUCGGGAGGAAUACCAGUGGCGAAGGCGGCCUUCUGGACUGACACUGACACUGAGGUGCGAAAGCGUGGGUAGCAAACAGGAUUAGAUACCCUGGUAGUC
rnacentral:rRNA from 1 species